rnacentral:lncRNA from 12 species
GGCGGGCACUUUGAGACACCAGCACAGGUACAGGCAGGAGUCAGGUGUAAAGGGAAAAUAGGAAAAUAGGAAAAAGUCCCAUGUGAUUAGAUUAUAAACCACACAAAGGGGUUGUUCUGGAUAGAGAUGAUAUUUGAAAGACAGGUUGAUGCCAGAUGGUGAAGGAUCCUGUAACCUCCAAGCCAUGAGAUCGUAGGUGAGUUACUUCACCCUUCUGAGUGUUAGUCUUCUGAUCUGGGAAGUGGGGCUAAAAUGCCCUUCCUGAUUGCCUGCAUGCUAAAAGCACCUAGUGAGUGCUUGGGGACAGUGAAUGCUGCUCCCUGUUUUGCAGGACCUGGCAGGCAGGCUGGCUGGUGAGUGAGGGGAAGGAGGAGGGGUGGGGACGCAGGGCUGGAGGGCUGGCACUGCAUCAGCACCUCCCGCAGCCCCAGGUUCUUCCAAUCCCAACAACCCCUUCAGCAUCUGAGAGAUCAGCUUCAGGCCCAUUUGGUGUUAAUUACAGCAACCCAGGCUUCUCUGUGUGAAGGAAACAGGCCCUCAUUUCUCUCAUUAAAGUAAAAUAUGACCCAUUUUUAUGCCUGCGUAUUUUGUUGCCGAGAUUACGAGAGUCAUCUUUUCUGUUUAUACGGAACAGAGAAACGUUACACCAGGCAGGCGGCCUGGGCCCCAGAGUCUGGGGAAUAGAAAGCAGAUGUCGUCCUCAGUGUUAUUUGCCCCCAGCUUCCAUCUCCUCCUCCCUGCUCUUCUCCCUCUCAGAAGCAUAAUCCUCCUUUCAGAUCCGCACGAGGUUCAAGAGAAAGGUUGCCAAGUCGGUGGAGCAACACCAACCAUCUCCUCUUGGCCUUCAGCUCUUGGAAUGUGGCUCUACCUGCAGAGCUGCCGCGCUCCAGAGGCCUACAGCUUCGGAGGUAUUAGAACUGUAGAGACCUAUGCUUCUGGGACAGGGCUGAGUCCUGCAUACCCACAUGGAUGAGCUGUAAGCAGCUCAAACCUUGAGACUGGAUCUGAUGAUCACUCAAAGCCAGUGACUGGCACAGAGACUGGCAUGCGACAGGUACUUAAGAAUGAAAGAAUCAUGAGUAAAACAGACAUAGGCCUUGGCUUCCAGGUCCCCCAUGAGGUCUCCCCAGGUAUCUGUUCUUCCUUUAGUCACAGUGCUGCCUUGAUUUCACAACUGGUCUCCCCUCAUGUGAUUGUGAGCGCUAGGGCCAGCCUCAUGCCUGUCUCAGUAUCUCUAGUACCUAGCAGUGUCUACUAGUACAUCGGAGGUACUCAAAACACAAUGAAAGGAUGAAUGAAUGACUGCCUCCUAUGUUGUAUUCAUCAGUGGUUGCAAGCUGGAGGAGCAAAGCCAGGUACUAGAGCACCCUGUUGUGGCCUCUGCCUCAGCCAUGCUCCUCCCUGGAGCAUAUGGCUUGCUACAUAAAUCCAAGCUGCAGGAGGACGGUGUUGGCGGCAGAGCAAGUUGGGUGCCAUUUGCAGACCUUUCCACAGACAUCAGCUGCUGAUGCAUCCUGCAGUAGAUGGCCCAGCUCUUCAGGAGACAGAACAGAAAUAUAUUAGCCUAGAAUUAUCAUUGUUUUCUCACUCAGCUCACUGUCUUUGCCCAGAAUUAGUUCAUCCCUUAAGCGGCCAAUUGAGUUCCCUCCUCAUUGGAGGAGGGACAGAUUAGCAGGGGCCCAUUCAAGGUUAAGUGGAGCAGAAUGUUUUCUAAAGAUUCUAUCCAAUA